AAACAAAUAAAUAAAGUUUUUCUAAAUAAAUGAAUGCAUAUGUGUAAGUAUAAGGAUUGAGAGAAGAAGAUGGAAUUACUAUGCAUUUUGGGAGUAUGGGACUGAGAUGAGAUGGAAUAGGUUCAAGAACCAUCAAUAUUCACUUUGGGAGUAUUGGGACCGCAAUGAGAAUACGAGAUAAGUUUAAGCACUGUUGGUGAAAUUUACUCCUAAAAUAAUUUCCUUAAAUCAUUGCUGGUAUCAUAGUCUAUCAAGUGGGUAAACCGUACACCAAAAUUCAAAACAAGUGUUGGACAACUAAGUAUAUAUCAUGAUACAACUCCCCCCUUAAAGCAUAGGAGCCUAAGGGGCACCACGCUAGAACAUAGUAAUUAAGCUCCUAUAUAUCCC
rnacentral:lncRNA from 1 species